GACGAACGCUGGCGGCGUGCCUAAUACAUGCAAGUCGAACGCAGUUGCGAACGGGUGAUUAACGCGUAGGUAACUGCCUCAUAGCGGGGGGUAACUAUUGGAAACGUUAGAUAAUACCGCAUCCUUUGAUAUGGACCUGCGUUGUAUUGGGUAGUUGGUGAGGUAAAGGCGCACCAAGGCGAAGAUACAUAGCCGACCUGAGAGGGUGAUCGGGCAAACUGGGAAUGAGAAAAGGCCCAGACUCCUACGGGAGGGCGCAGGAGGGAAACUUCGGCAAUGGACGGAAGUCUGACCGAGCAAAGGCGCGGGAGUGAAGAAGGUUUUCGGAUCGUAAAGCUCUUUUGUGAGAGAAGCGGUAACAAACCAGAAAGGGACGGCUAACUACGUGCCAGCAGCCGCGGUAAUAC
rnacentral:rRNA from 1 species